UGCAAGGCAUUGCUAUCAUGAACAGCUUGUCAAGUCUUCCGCGCUGUACUUCCAGUGCAGCAUGACUGGGAAGGUCACCUGUGAGUAACAGAAAAAAUGUACCAAGUCCAGAAGAGUGAAGAAGGUUCAUACUAUCUGAUGUUGGGCUGUCCUGAAGUCAUCCAGCAGAACAUUUCAAAGUGCUUCCAUAUGAAAAAAAGGCCCAUAGAACUGCCAGGAGGGCUGGUAGAUGAACGGAGUGGCUUAUGGAUGGAAAUGAACCUGCUGCAGCCAAUAGGACUCAACCUGAUGAGAGCAUACAGACAUACAGGUUUCUCAGAAAUAUGUUUGAACAACUGAAUUAAAUCAGUUGCCCAGUAGGCUUUCUUACAUAUGUCUGGAGAGCAAUGGGGGUAGUAAUUGUAUAUAUGAAAGGAAAAAUAGCAGCUACAAGAAUAGUAUAACAUAAACAGGAUGAUAAGCUUUAAAACACUUAAAAAUAUUUCUAUUUUAUUUUAGUAAAAGAGAACAAAAGAGUGUACUAAACAGAUAAAUACUAGGAAAUCUAAUAUGAGUUUGCUGCAGUUAACUUUGUUGGAAAAUCUCUUGUCCUUGUUUGAUACGAGCUGAUCUCCCAGGCAAUGAGAGUUCUUCAAAUAGCUCAAAACAUUUGAUGCAUGACCCUCUAAAAAUGUUAGUUAGGCAGAGAAAAAGAGGAGGUGGGGAUUAGUAUAAGCACUAUAGAAAACAUGCCAAUUUCAGGAAAUUCUGUUUGGAGUAGAGAUAAAUAUCAGAGGAAUUCACAGAAUCAGUCUUGAGACUGAUUUAAAUUUAGCAGUAGCCAUGCAAAAUUUUCAUUAGAACUUCUUCCAAAAUUACAGCUUUUUACUAAUAAAAACUGCUGAUGAGGUUACCAGUUGCCCCUGCUGUAACACAUCUGUCACCUCUCUGCAAGCCCACAGGUAAGAUCUUACAGUCCUCACACAUGGGUAGUUUGACAAAUGCUUCUGGUUUAAGCAAUCUCUGGUCUUUAUCUUCCCAUUUCUACCCCAAUUCAUUGCCUGUACCAACUCUCGGCGUGCCAAAAUAACCAUUUGUGGACAGAGUGGUGAAACAAAGCUGGGAACUUCUGUAAGUUAAAAUUAAACCUGUUUUGCAAAAUGUUUUUCUUAGGGGAUAGGUAUGCAGGGAGGCAGAACAUCAAAGAGACAAGGCCGCUUAGCAGCACACUUAAGUCUGUGCUGAAGCAUGCAGCUCCUUUUCCCUUAAUGUUGGACCAGGAACUGGAAAAGGGGAUUUAUCCACCAGUUAUCUACUGCUGGUUUCCAGGAGAAAGAGAGAAAGAAAGCGAUCCCUUAGCUCUCAACUCCAAUCCAGUGAAAUUAAUUUAACAAAUAACCUAAACUGAGAAACUCUGAAGUAUCAAAAAGAAAACAGUUUGAUUGGUUAAUUAACUGCCUGAUCACAACUUUCCAACAAAAACACUUCAUUUGCUCUUUCCAGCUACAUCUAGAGAGAAGCUACAAUUCUUUACAGAAAAUCACACGGCUGCCCUCCUUUGCAAAAAAUCAUGCAGGGCUUGCUGUACAUGUGUAGCAGAAAUCAAAGUCAUGACCUGAAACUGUGAUUGAGCACCUGGUGGGAAGGCAGGGCUAACCCAGGGGAGCUCAGGUGCCUGCAAUGCACCCAGUGACUGGAAGGGGUGGAGCCAGGAUCCUCCCCUUCCCAAACCUCAUUUAAAGGUUGGCAGUGGAGGUAAGGGAGUUUUAUUGGAGAUCCCUGCUUAAGGCCUUCCAUUGGUCCGUUAUGUGGCGAUUCUCAAAGACACCUAGACAACACAAUUAAGCAAGAUGUAGUAAUUUGGAAGAUAGCUGCCAGCCACACAGUGGGAAUAUAAUCCAGCAAGUUUCGUGCUCAAGCCUUUAUCACUCAGCUUGGAUCCUGACGUGACCAAAGUGAGAAAGGCAGUAAA